rnacentral:rRNA from 1 species
UACGAAGGGGGCUAGCGUUGCUCGGAAUCACUGGGCGUAAAGGGUGCGUAGGCGGGUCUUUAAGUCAGGGGUGAAAUCCUGGAGCUCAACUCCAGAACUGCCUUUGAUACUGAAGAUCUUGAGUUCGGGAGAGGUGAGUGGAACUGCGAGUGUAGAGGUGAAAUUCGUAGAUAUUCGCAAGAACACCAGUGGCGAAGGCGGCUCACUGGCCCGAUACUGACGCUGAGGCACGAAAAGCGUGGGGGAG